rnacentral:rRNA from 1 species
CCUACGGGAGGCAGCAGUGGGGAAUUUUGGACAAUGGGCGAAAGCCUGAUCCAGCAAUGCCGCGUGAGUGAAGAAGGCCUUCGGGUUGUAAAGCUCUUUUGUCAGGGAAGAAACGGUGAGAGCUAAUAUCUUUUGCUAAUGACGGUACCUGAAGAAUAAGCACCGGCUAACUACGUGCCAGCAGCCGCGGUAAUACGUAGGGUGCAAGCGUUAAUCGGAAUUACUGGGCGUAAAGCGUGCGCAGGCGGUUUUGUAAGUCUGAUGUGAAAUCCCCGGGCUCAACCUGGGAAUUGCAUUGGAGACUGCAAGGCUAGAAUCUGGCAGAGGGGGGUAGAAUUCCACGUGUAGCAGUGAAAUGCGUAGAUAUGUGGAGGAACACCGAUGGCGAAGGCAGCCCCCUGGGUCAAGAUUGACGCUCAUGCACGAAAGCGUGGGGAGCAAACAGGAUUAGAUACCCUGGUAGUCCACGCCCUAAACGAUGUCUACUAGUUGUCGGGUCUUAAUUGACUUGGUAACGCAGCUAACGCGUGAAGUAGACCGCCUGGGGAGUCGGUCGCAAGAUUAAAACGUCGAAAGUAGUGACGNGAGAGAGUUGACCGAGCACGACGGAGGGUUAGAGG